rnacentral:rRNA from 1 species
UACAGAGGUCCCAAGCGUUGUCCGGAUUCAUUGGGCGUAAAGGGUGCGUAGGGUGGCGCCGUAAGUGGGGUGUGAAAUUUCGGAGCUUAACUCCGAAACUGCAUUCCAUACUGCGGUGCUUGAGGACUGGAGAGGAGACUGGAACUUUACGGUGUAGCGGUGAAAUGCGUAGAGAUCGUAAGGAAGACCAGUGGCGAAGGCGGGUCUCUGGACAGUUCCUGACGCUGAGGCACGAAGGUCAGGGGAGCAAACGGG